UGUUGACUAUCGCUGUCCAAGCCAGGGCGGCGGAGCCCAGGGCGCCUGCGGCAGCCCCGAGCCCGGGGCCAGGCCGGCCAUGAGGGCGCUUCCCCGGCGUGCGCCGGCAGGCCCGAGCCUCUGCCGGGGCCAGGCGGACACUGAAGGCAGAAGUGGGGGAUUGAGCUGUGCAGAGACCUGAAGUUCAGGCUGCAGCUGACAGUGAAGAGGUGUGUGAUGUGGGCAGUUGUCUGGUUUGCUCCACCAUGCCUGGCUCUCUAGCAAAUAAUGGGCACUGUGGAGGCAGAAGUGGGGUUUGAGCCUUUAGGAGACCUGAAGUUCAGGCUGCAGCUGACAGUGAAGAGGUGUGGAUGAGGGCAUUGCCUGGUUUGCUCCACCAUGUGUGCCCCUUUGUCAGGGGAGAACGGUUGAGAUUUAUAAAAAGUUGUCCUGGGCCCCGCUGGAGUUUAAGA